UUCACUGCUGCCAUGAUAGUGGCAUUGCUGCAGGGCGUUUGUGCUGUGCUUGCAGUGGCAGGGCCUGAUGUUCACAGCUGGGCUUCCUCCAGUUGCUUUAAUGGGGAGCAAGUGAAUGCCUGCCUGCAAGCUACAGCAGCCGUGAUGCCAAAUCUGCCAAUGAAGCCUGCAUUUCAGAGUAGAACCUAGAAGGCCCAGAUGAGAUCAGAGCCCCACUAUGCAAGGCUGCCUACAAACACAUGACGGAGUUCGGAGGAGUCUGAGUUGCCUUGGAUAAAAUUUGUGUUUUAGAUUGAUUGAGUACCCUCCGCUCACUUCCUCAUCUGUCAUGACAUUUGGAACUGCAGGUCAAGAAAUCUUGGUCCCUCUGGUUUCCGGCUCUCCCAGCUGCUGGUUCCACCACCCAGUUCAACAACUGGAGUUCUGACACUCCCCAGCUCUCACUGCCCUAUAGCUGCCUUGCUCCACUCAGUUCCUGCUUCGUCUCAGAAGCUUCUGCUAUGGUGGCCCAGGUUAGGAGACCCCUCCCAGUCCUCCUUCCCCUUUCCUCCCCAUACAAACAUGGUGCCCCCCACCCCCCCGGUAGUUAGUUCUGAACUCCCACCCCUUGCCUUGGGGUGAAGAAACCUCCUCUUGCCAUUGGGGAGGCAGGCAUUCAUCCAGAAAUCACUUGAACACCACCCUGUCACUAAUAAACAGGCACUUUUAUCAGCAAACAAACAGUCCCAGUGCUUCUGCAACAUCAGUCCCUUAGUCAAAGCUCCAGGUGCCUCCUUCCCUUUGGCCUCUCACUGAUUCCUGCAUGCCCUACAGUACAGGCUCCUAGUGGCCAUGCAGUCAGGUUGCUCCCUCGGCCUUCCCCGAGCUCAGCCUUUCAGCCUGCUGUGUCCCUGCAGUCCUUACUUGAAUGGCACUGCCAUCCUCCAAUAGGAGGAGAGAGAGCAGCAGGAAGCAGGGUAGAAUUUCUUCCCAGAUCCCUAGCCAAAUAGGCCCCUGGGGCCAUUUGGACUAGCCCUUUCGUGCUGCUGAUUGUGGAGUGGUGACUCCAUAUGAAGAAGCCUGUUGGCUGUAGCAGUAGCCCCAGGACCCCUCACCUUCUUGGUAGCUCUCUGGUCUGGCCAUGCUGUGAAGGACCUGGAUCUCGCUCCUGGAUGAGGCAGAAGGUGGCUGAGCUGAUCCCUCAUCUGCUGUGGAUCACAUUCUUUGGAACUAUCAGCCUUUGUUUCCUGGUUAAAUGGGGUCUGACCCCAAUGUCACGUGUCUGCAGCCUGGUAGCAGAACCAAAUUGGGCGCACCUUUCAUCUGAGACUCUCAAAGCACUUUGCAAACAUGGAUCAAGCUUUGCAAGUGUCAAGCUUCAGAUUGGCAAUAAGGCAUAAGCUGUUAACACUAGGGGAAUAACUAAACGGAACAUUUAAAAAGAGAAGAGAGUGAAAAGAUUCCACCAUCUCAUGCAGGCUGUGUUGGAAAUUGUAAAUUCUGAGGAGGUGUUAUCUCCUGCCCAACAAAAGAAAGCCCAUAGACACCAGACAAACCACUGUGGAACAUCAGAGGACAAAAUACUUUGUUGAUUGCUCCCCCUUCACCCAUGAAGAGGAAAUACUGGGCCCAUCAUCUUGAACUCUGGGGGAACCGGAUAAAAAUCCCUCACAAGAAGAAACUGCAUCUUUGGCUGUUUGAACUCUGAAGGGCCAGAGACUCUAACUGGAAGCAAAAGGUCUCCAGGGGCUGCCUCCUGGGUCUGCCCUGAAAGACACUUUGAAUAGACAGAUCACUGCAACACUGUCACUCAUAGGAUUUGGAUGGUAACUCAUAUGUUUGUAUAUGUUUGCUUGCUUAAACUUGUAAAUAAUUCUGUUUCCUUUUUCCUAGUUACUAAACCUUUGGAUUGUUUAUUUCAGGAUUGGCUACAGGCAUUGUCCUUGGAGUAGGAUCGAUCUAGGGUUCCAACUGAUCUGGGGGUAGGUGACUGGUCUCUUGGGAUUGGAAGCAACCUAAAUGUAGUAUGAUUUUUGGAAUAAGUGUACGUAAAAGAAUAAAUGGACACAAAUCAGA